ensembl:snoRNA Y66H1B.6 ncRNA
CACCACGAAUUCAAGAUCUGGUGGAAUUAGGGAUCUGGCACAAAACACAAUUUUUCUCAAAGAAAAACGUGACAACUGCUCCA